AAUAGGUUCUUUUUACGUGCAAUAAAAUUGUAUGUCAAGUCACAAAACUAUAAAUCUGGAGAGCAAAGUUUCACAACAGUCAGACAGACAGCUCACAAACAGGGAUUACAGCUUCAAAAACAAGGCGAGAAUGUCUCCCCACUAUAAAAAUCACAACUUGAAAAUUACACGGGCCUCUUCUUAUUUGAACUCCAAAUAUAAGAAAAUUUUAGCCUGUUUGCUUUACCAAAAACCAGGCCAUUCAAGAGUAAGACGCCAAACAACAAAAACAUUUUGAGAAAGAUAAUAUUAUUUGCCUGCUCCACAAGCAUUUGAAUAGGGGAUGUUCUAAUUGACAACAUCAAGGACCAGCUUACGUGACUUGAGAACAGACCACCUCAAACGCCUGUAGUAAGCAGCUUGAAGCAGUGCAAGGGACAGUACAAAUAUCCACUUGAAGCCCAUCAGUUUUCUCUCUUCCAUUUCUGGUUCAGCAGCCCAAGUUAAAAAUGACACCACAUCUUUCCCCAUCUGAGCUUCUGUUGCAGGGACACCAUCUUCAUACUCAACAGCACCAUCAUUAAGCAUUUUUGGCAUUGCAAUAGCUCCACCAGGGAAGUAAGGAUUGUAGUGCAGUCCUUCACGAAUCGAAACACCAGCAGGAGGAUCACGAUAGCCAGUAAGAAGAGCAAACACAUAGUUUUGACCAUUAUGGCGUGCUUUUGUAAUAAGACUUAAAUCUGGAGGGUAGGCUCCCCCAUUAGCAAAUCUAGCAGCUGCUUCAUUUGGAUAUGGCUGAGGAAAACGAUCACUCAGUUUACCAGGACGGGUAAACAUUUCACCCUCAUCAUUAGGCCCAUCCGCCACCUCAAUCUCAGCUGCCAUAGCCUUUACUUCUUCCUCUGUAUAUGCCACCCCGACCAAGUCACGAUAUGAAACAAGUGACAUUGAAUGACAAGAUGCACAUACUUGUUGAUAAACCUGGUGACCACGACGAAUCGAAGCAUGAUCGUAUGAACUAAGAAUGCCUGCAUGAGGCCAAGGAUAGCUUGGGCAUUCCAAUCCGUGUUCAGCCUCAUCAG
rnacentral:misc_RNA from 1 species